AGUGCAUUUGAAACUCCCCUUGCACAAGGGCCGACUGUAGCUGGGGAAAGACAGUUUACUCAUUUGCUCUCUCCUUUCACACAGUCAGCUGGCCCUCUUCUCAGGUGUAGAUCACCUAUUAUCAUUUCACCUGUUUUGAUUCUCUGAUGAGGAAAGUCCCAAGACUUAUCAGCUGGGAUAGGCCUCAUUUACAAGACAGCUCUGUUCAGUAUUUGGAAGAAAGCCUGACAGGUUUCUCCGGAAAAGUGACCAUCCAUGGAAUGAAUGAAAUGUUCCCUUUCUAUUCCAUUCAGGUGUGACCUUGUACCCAAGCUUCCUUCUCCAGUGUAAGAAAACAAAGUCCUCUCUGUCCCCAAAAAAGAGACUGGGCACCGGAACACAGAGAAGCCCCUUUGUCCGGCUCUCCCCACCACCCCCAUUAAUAUGCACUGCUGCAACCUUGAGGCCCAGGGAGGAACUCCUUUGACUUGGAGACUGGAUUUUGCAAAACCCCAAGCUUUGUUCCACAGGGACACUCAUGUCAAAUGACAGUCCCUCACAGUAACUCCACCAUGUUCUCCCAUUCAAGACAGUGUACUGGCAUGCAAACUACCAGUAACAUUUUUCCUCAUCCUCAAGAGACAAUCAUAAAACAAUGGCUCAUCGUGUGCUUUUAGAACAGGAACUGAAGUUGUGUACAGUGCAUGUGUAAUCCUACAUAGGAGGAAGACAAUUUUAAAGUUGCUGUUGCCUCCUGGAAAAA
rnacentral:lncRNA from 1 species